UUGACAACCCUGGAGACUGCAGUCCUCUAUGUAUCCACAGAAUGGAUGCAGUGGGGGCAUCAACAGGGCAAGCUCCCCAAAACCAACCCCUGCAAAAGUGCCUCAACCUCACCUUAGAGGGGACACACCUCUUAAGGUUGAAGAACUAGUUCAUCUGUCAGUGAAUUAUGUGGAUCU
rnacentral:sRNA from 1 species